UAGGGAAUCUUCCACAAUGGACGCAAGUCUGAUGGAGCAACGCCGCGUGAGUGAAGAAGGUUUUCGGACCGUAAAGCUCUGUUGUUGGUGAAGAAGGAUAGAGGUAGUAACUGGCCUUUAUUUGACGGUAAUCAACCAGAAAGUCACGGCUAACUACGUGCCAGCAGCCGCGGUAAUACGUAGGUGGCAAGCGUUGUCCGGAUUUAUUGGGCGUAAAGCGAGCGCAGGCGGAAGAAUAAGUCUGAUGUGAAAGCCCUCGGCUUAACCGAGGAAUUGCAUCGGAAACUGUUUUCUUGAGUGCAGAAGAGGAGAGUAGAACUCCAUGUGUAGCGGUGGAAUGCGUAGAUAUAUGGAAGAAUACCAGUGGCGAAGGCGGCUCUCUGGUCUGCAACUGACGCUGAGGCUCGAAAGCAUGGGUAGCGAACAGGAUUAGAUACCCUGGUAGUCCAUGCCGUAAACGAUGAGUGCUAAGUGUUGGGAGGCUUCCGCCUCUCAGUGCUGCAGCUAACGCAUUAAGCACUCCGCCUGGGGGAGUACGACCGCAAAGGUUGAA
rnacentral:rRNA from 1 species